UAUCUGCUCCCAUCACUUUAUCCCACUGCCCCCUUCUCUCUCCCAAUGUCGAUCAAAUUAACCUACUUCCCCACUACUUUGCCCGCCAUUUUCUCUCACUACUUUGUUCGCCAUUUUCUAUCACUGGCUGCACAUAAUUUUCUCAAACCUAGCGUUGCCAUCUCCAUCAACAGCCGGCUGCCUUUGCCAUCUCCAUCAACAAUCGGCUGCCCUACCACCGGAAGAUUUCCUGUCUUGCUCCUUCAAAAAUUGACUUCUCCUUAGAGAGAUAUAGAAAGAGAAGAGAACUCGAACUACCUAUAAAUCACUGCAUAAAGCCCUAAAAUCUCUGGUCGAGUAAGGAAAGGCUUUUAACCAAUGCCGACUUAGUUUUGUUAGUGUUGACUAGUGGAAUCAUUGGAAUUGAUGGUGCUAAAACUUCAAAAGAGCCAAGAUAGAAUUCUGAUUCUUCAAUCACUACACCUAUCGGGCUGUGUGUAGAAAGAAAGUGAAUUUCUACUUCUAUAUUUUUUAUUUUGUGAUAAAAAGAAGCAUAGAAGGAUUCCCAAGUGUGUGUUACAUCUGGAAAUCAUUAUGGAGGAGUUACUUGCAGCUGAUAUCAAUAACAAUGGUUUUAUCAUGGCGGAACAAGGGAAUGCUUUGAUGCCUAAUGUCCUAAGAAAGGUUUUGCUCUAUGAAAGUGGUAGCAUAAUCCUAAUGGGGUUGGUUUCACAACUUAUUCAUAAUGGUGGUCAUCAUGUUACGGCAAGAUCGAAGACUUGUAUUAAGGCAUGGGAGUUUGAUUUAUUUUUGUCGGUUUGAAUUUGUAUUGCACAAUUGGGGAGUUACUUUCAUUUUGUAAUGAACUCAAAUACUGUAAUGUAAUUUUUUGAUGAAAUUUGAUAUUUUAUUCAAAUGUGUCAA